GAGCUAUGAAGUAAAUCGCGCUCUUGUGAUGGUUAGGGUCCGUUACGUGCUUCUGAUCUAUUGAUUAGAAAAUUGCGCUUCUGAGCUC
rnacentral:snoRNA from 1 species